rnacentral:rRNA from 1 species
UGGGGAAUAUUGCACAAUGGGGGAAACCCUGAUGCAGCGACGCCGCGUGAGCGAUGAAGGCUUUCGAGUCGUAAAGCUCUGUCCUAUGGGAAGAUAAUGACGGUACCUCAAGAAAAAGCCCCGGCUAACUACGUGCCAGCAGCCGCGGUAAUACGUAGGGGGCUAGCGUUGUCCGGAAUCACUGGGCGUAAAGGGUUCGCAGGCGGAAUAACAAGUCAGAUGUGAAAGGCAUGGGCUCAACCCAUGUAAGCAUUUGAAACUGUAAUUCUUGAGAAGUGGAGAGGUAAGUGGAAUUCCUAGUGUAGCGGUGAAAUGCGUAGAUAUUAGGAGGAAUACCUGUGGCGAAGGCGACUUACUGGACACAAAUCUGACGCUGAGGAACGAAAGCGUGGGUAGCAAACAGG